GACAAUUUCACGUAAAUAUACAUUUAAAAACUAUUUCAGUUUUAAUUCCAAUUAUUAUCGGUAUUAAAAGUUCAGUUUCACUUUUGAUAACGUUUUUGGUGUGACGCGAGUAGUUUUGGCGCGUAGUUCUAUUUUUAAAUUGUAUUCGGGAGUUUCGCAAAAAUGGCGGAGUUGGGUGUUUUUUCGUAGUGCGUUCCUGUAACCGUUGAAAAUGACGCUGUAAGGAAAAUAUUGAUUGGAACUUUGAAACAUCAUUGAUCUAAACAAAAAUGGAGCACGUGCAAACUCGGAGGCGAGAAGCGAUCGAGUUGUGAUCGAGGCACAGAUGUGUCCCUAUUACAACGAAUA